CGAACGGUGAACACGGAGCUUGCUCUGUGGGAUCAGUGGCGAACGGGUGAGUAACACGUGAGCAACCUGCCCCUGACUCUGGGAUAAGCGCUGGAAACGGCGUCUAAUACUGGAUAUGUGACGUGACCGCAUGGUCUGCGUCUGGAAAGAAUUUCGGUUGGGGAUGGGCUCGCGGCCUAUCAGCUUGUUGGUGAGGUAAUGGCUCACCAAGGCGUCGACGGGUAGCCGGCCUGAGAGGGUGACCGGCCACACUGGGACUGAGACACGGCCCAGACUCCUACGGGAGGCAGCAGUGGGGAAUAUUGCACAAUGGGCGCAAGCCUGAUGCAGCAACGCCGCGUGAGGGACGACGGCCUUCGGGUUGUAAACCUCUUUUAGCAGGGAAGAAGCGAAAGUGACGGUACCUGCAGAAAAAGCGCCGGCUAACUACGUGCCAGCAGCCGCGGUAAUACGUAGGGCGCAAGCGUUAUCCGGAAUUAUUGGGCGUAAAGAGCUCGUAGGCGGUUUGUCGCGUCUGCUGUGAAAUCCGGAGGCUCAACCUCCGGCCUGCAGUGGGUACGGGCAGACUAGAGUGCGGUAGGGGAGAUUGGAAUUCCUGGUGUAGCGGUGGAAUGCGCAGAUAUCAGGAGGAACACCGAUGGCGAAGGCAGAUCUCUGGGCCGUAACUGACGCUGAGGAGCGAAAGGGUGGGGAGCAAACAGGCUUAGAUACCCUGGUAGUCCACCCCGUAAACGUUGGGA
rnacentral:rRNA from 1 species